UUGGUCCUACGGGAGGCAGCAGUAGGGAAUAUUGGACAAUGGGCGCAAGCCUGAUCCAGCAAUGCCGCGUGAGUGAUGAAGGCCUUAGGGUUGUAAAGCUCUUUUACCAGAGAUGAUAAUGACAGUACCGGGGGAAUAAGCCCCGGCUAACUCCGUGCCAGCAGCCGCGGUAAU
rnacentral:rRNA from 1 species